rnacentral:other from 1 species
GACUCCCUGGGGUGCCCGUGAUAGAUGUUUGAAGUCUUGAGCCAACACCGGACCGAUGGAGGCAGGGUUUGGUGCCGGUGGUGCCCUGUAGGGCAGUCAUGCCGGCAUCAACAUGCCACCGCUCUUAGUUCGGGUUCAGAGACUUUGAUCUACACGGCACCUUCAGGGAGCCA